GGCUGGCCUGAAGGCAGUGAGCUACCUCCAAUGAUGGUUCACAGUCAGGUACAGACUAAACCCUUUGCUCUAUUCUUUAUCCCGUUCUCACUACUUCACUGGACUACUCUAAA
rnacentral:Y_RNA from 1 species